GGCGUCGACACGGCCGUGCUCGUCGUACAGAGGCCCAAGCCGGCCGUGCGGCCUCCGCAAGCGCCAGACUGCCGCCGCCCCCUCGUGGAGGAGGGCUCGUUGCAACGGCCUUCGCCGCAGCUGCCACACGCUGCUAUCGCUGUAUUAGUAUCACCGCCGCCGCAUCGCGCCUCUCGGCAGCAGCCAGCGGGUUAGUUUUGCCCUUUCCACGGAACGCACCGAACCUGUUCGGCGAUUUGCCUAGGAACGGACUGGCGCUUGAGAUGCUUGCAAGAAGUUGCACCUGAGGCUCAGCUGAUGAUGACGAACUGGCCAGCUCGUACAAGAGCGAGAUAUCAUCUGGCAGUUGCACAUGCCACUUUCUGACGGCCGCAACGAGCACCUGACAGAUACUCGUGAAUGGGCUUGCUCUCAGUUUCCUGAACCUGUACACUCUGGAGCCACCAACAAAUACUGCUAGGCCCAAGGUCAUGAGCACCGUUGGGAUUGCAAAACUGAGCCCCCACCCACCAUUGUCCUGCAGCCAAACAAGCAGUGUGCUUGACAGAAGGGAGCCGAGAUUGAGCAGGAAGUAGUACCAGUUGAAGAAGGAGCCCUUCUUCUCCAGCUCCAUCAGGUCCCCGCCGUCGAAUUGGUCGGCACCGAAGGCUGACGCACAGGGUUUAAUGCCACCGGUCCCAAGUGCGGCAAGAUAGAGUCCCAGGUACACCACCACAGUACGAUGAACAUCACCAUGGUAGUACGAUGUCGGGACUGAUGCUGCAACUGUGAGCACGAGCAUUCCCUGUCAAAGUGAAAGUGUUCAGAGCUGCAAUUGUCAUACAUAUCUGCUCGGUUAGCUGUGCUAGCUGUACUUACGAUGGUGUGGACUGGAAGGGAAACAACUAUCGUCCAGUAUCUUCCCAGAUAUGUGUCAGCCAAGAAGGCCCCAAUAAGUGGUGUGAGGAAGCAUGCGCCGACCCAGGCAGAGACAUCCCGCGCAGCAGCGACCUUGCUUUCGUGGAGCACGGUGGUGAGGUAGGUUACCAAGUUGGUCGCGAUUGCGAAGAAGGCGACGCAUUCGCAGAACUCGACGCCUGAGAUGCGUUGAGGUGGUCAGCAGUAAAAAGAGAAGAAGAGAAAAAACAGGAGCAGUUUGCAUGAGUGAAUCGCUGUUGUCUGGUACCUAAAAUCAUGUAGCACGCCCUCCAAUUGCCUGUGUUGCACUUCAGAGCAGGCUGAUUGUUGAUGUCAACAGAUCCAUCGCCGGUGUAUUCUGAACCUACAUCCUACAUCGCAGUGCCAGGAUAUCCAGUUUGGAAAUUUGCAACUGUAAAUCUCUUGCGGAGGACCGACAAGAACUGAAGAAUUACACGUGCUAACUGAAAUUAUUCUCAUAUAUACUAGUGUUGGGCAGUACCUGAUUAUACGGUUGGAGAUGAAGCAGGGGCCUCUCCUCGUCUGCUGCUGCUGCUUCCAUGGCUGCUUACAAGAUGGUCGAUGGAGCAGAUGAGGGUUAAGGGAUGGAGCUCAGAACCUAAAAGUUACCUGCAUGUGCUCUUGUCUACUUUUGUUCUGAAGAGUGGUAGGUUGCUUAUCAGUUAUCACUAAGAUAUGGUAAAAAGGUGGCACGCUCAUUCCAAAUCGAGGGAUCGCGUGUGUUGUGACUGCAUUUUCUAGUGAUUGAACGAUGAUUAAAGGGUUCGAUUUU